rnacentral:rRNA from 1 species
UACGGGGGGGGCAAGCGUUGUUCGGAAUUACUGGGCGUAAAGGGCUCGUAGGCGGCCAACUAAGUCAGACGUGAAAUCCCUCGGCUUAACCGGGGAACUGCGUCUGAUACUGGAUGGCUUGAGUUUGGGAGAGGGAUGCGGAAUUCCAGGUGUAGCGGUGAAAUGCGUAGAUAUCUGGAGGAACACCCGUGGCGAAGGCGGCUCUCUGGGACGUGACUGACGCUGAGACGCGAAAGCGUGGGGAGCGAACAGG